GGAUAGCUCAGUCGGUAAGAGUGUGGUGUUGAAAAUGCCAAGGUUGCAGGUUUGCUCCCCGUAAGGGACA